AGGCGAGGCAAGGAGGCGAGCCGUACCGAUAUUAUGAUCAGUCCCGCGGCAUCAAGGCCGCCUCCUUACUUGAGAUCUUGUCUCUCGGUGACUCACGCCGACUCGGCUGCCGCUGCCUUCGAACGUUUCCGCGCCAAAGAGCGUGCAAAGAGUAGCUUGAACCUGAGGAGAUCGGAGCAGAAGAGUUUCGAGACCAGAAAACGAAGACUCUUGACCACCUGGCGAAAGACCUCCUCGCGAUGAUGUACGGGUACGCGCGUACACCGAUCGCGCCUCUGACGCGAACCGCCGUAGUUCCUUUUCUUUCACACCUCCUAUAUUUUUCACUCUCCAUUUUUAGAUCAACCGCGUUUUUUCGCAUCGCCACGAUUCUGAGGCAAAAAUCGCCGGUUUAAUUUUCCAGGAUUUAUCGAUCGAUCCAGAAGGUAGUUCGGGUCGUGUACACCUGUUGGCUCCGAGGUAACGAAUUCCAAAUAUGACGGGAUUUUAACGGUCGACUUUUUUUCGCCGGAACGAGGUGGCCGACCGAUCGCUCUCGGAUUCUUUUCCUAUUUUUUCUUAUAUCUUCGCACUUUCGGGCUACAUUGUCUGCCGCAAAUGUGCGAAUGACACGUUUUUGAUUUGAUCAGAUAACGGCCGUUCUUAUAAAUCUCCUAUUAUACCUUUCACGUGGUAUUAUGUAUGCUCGCGGUACACCUAUAUUUAUAUACUUACGGUGCUGGAGGACAUGUAUUUUGAUUUGCAGCCACCCGAUGCAGACUCCGCGUCUCCCUCUAUAAUUGCCGGUGUAAUAGUAAUUACUGAAUUAAUUGCCGUAGAUGUGAAUCGACUCACGUUGUAAUCGAAUGUACGCCGCUGUACGAUAUUUUGCAAUUUUUAUUUCAUACAUCGGCACAGGUACGGGUAUACCUCGUUACAGGUGUGUUAAGGUACGUUUCAACGCUGAAUUUGGUUUGGUUGGACAUAGAAGUAAAAUUGCAAUUUACGUAACUAAUGAAUUAAUUGCAUCAGCUGUACGUACACAUGAACAUAUGUGUUACGAAUUUACAAAUUAAUACAAUUACUCCGCGUUCUCCAUUUGUUGACACGAUAUGCAGGCCGAUCUUCGCUCUCUUCAUUUCCUCCUCGUCAGAAAUCAUUUCACGACGGAUUCAAGUUCGUUCUUUUUGAACUCCGAAUCUUUUUUGUUUCCUCGUAUUCAUUCGUUCAUCAUUAUUCAUCAUUGUUGUUAUUCUUUACUCCUAGUCUGGUCGACAAUUAAUUAACCCGAAGCAGUGAUUAAUCAUUUACCCGAAUCGUUCACGCGUUGACCUUUCGAUGGAACAUAAUGUGCAGAUAUGGUGUUAAAUGUAAAAUUCUUGUCCAUUUUUGCAUCGCGAGUGAAAAAUUAGUUCUCCGUGCGCAAGGUCUCGUAAUUUAUUGGCAUUCUUGUGCAGGUGCAUUUGGAUAUACCAAUUUUAUUCGUCUAACCAGAUAAAAUACCGAGUAGGUCAUUAUAAUAUUCACAUCAUCAGUCCCACCGAAAUCAGUCGAUCAAACAAAUUUGUUUCAUCCGCUCUUCAUUUCUCGUUUCGGAUAAUUCUAUUUUCGAUCUUCGACACAUUGUGCGUCUGCUUUCCAUGAAAGGAAAUUUGCAAUUUUAUUUGUUGCGUCGAGUUUAGCUUCGUCACAGUAUAUUAAAUACUCCGGUAAUUUUAUACCGAUGUACGCAUACGUAUAGGUAUACGUACGUACGUAUAAGUAGAUUAACAAACGCAUGAAUAAUCGUGCAUCGGUGUGGUGAUUUGAGCCUUUUAAAGGCAAUCGAGUUAAGCAGAUGAGAUCUGCGUGCGGUGUGUGUAGCGUAAGAAUAAAUAUAUGUCUGCUGUUUAUGUGUAUCGCAACACCGACGCGCGUAAUUAUUCUUUUACACGAUAUGCUACGAAGGAAACAAUGAGUAACCGACGUGAACUAGAGUAACGCGUACAUAGGCUAUUCACAAAAGCGUUUUUCUCACCGCGAUGAUGCAGAUUUUAUAGAUAGAGCGAGAAAACAAAGAGGAGAGGAAAAAAAACAGAACAAAAAAUUUUUACCCCAUAAAUAAAUACAUAAUUAUACACGUACAUCGUUGCGGAAGUGCAGAUAAAAACGCACCGAGUGUCCGUUGAAAUGCGAAAAAUUUGCGAACGUUUCCACAGAUUUUUUGAUGUUUUUCUUUUUCUAAUUUGCUUUUUUCAUCUCGUAUGUACAUAUUCGAGUGAGUAGGCAACGUUGGACGAACGACAACACGUGGCUUCAAGGUAUAAUUCGUCACGUCGUUGCGUUCUCGUUAUCGCGUGUCACCUCGACUUUUUUAUCGUUGGUUUGGUCAAAACGCCACAUCCGGUUGUGAAAGGGGUGCGUGGACGAGUAAGGAUCAAAAUCAAAACCGAAACACUUGAGUUUCAAGCUCGAUUCGAUUUCUGCUGCGAAAACUUUCGCUCUUCACUUCGCCUAUUAUCACAAUCCCAUUGUACGGAUUCCGGGUGCGUAACCACCGUACGUAUGCAGGUACGUACUACCUACCGAGGCAAGGAUUCCCAUCAAUCUCUCAGCUGGGGUCACGUGGCCCGUAAUCGGACACCAUUAAACGUCCCUGACGCUUUACCAUGGGCGAAGAACAUGAAAAACAGACGUGAGCGUCAUUAAGUAAUGAACUCAUCUAUAAUGACAACCGUUGAAUCCCAAAAUCUCCAAAUUGGGAUAUUAUGUAGCCUGAAUUGGCGGUUGUAGUUCGAGGCUGCAGGAGACUCCGCGGAUGUGUGGUAUCGCGUCUGCCGUUCCUGCAUCGGCAUCGUUUUCCUGCAUGCUGGAGGGCGAACGCAGAGAUCACUGUUUUAAAAAUAUCCAUCCUCAGCCCCUCGGUUUCUUUUGGUUAUGGUAUACCGAAGGCUCUUUUUAUUAUUCUUUACCGAGACGAUUCGAACAUUCGAGACAAGAAGAAACAAUUCAAAAAAGGGAUCGGCGCCUGCGAUGCCUCCUCGGCUCGCGUCGGUUACUCAAUCUUUACUUUUUUAAAGCGUCUUACGUACCGAAUCGGGAAUCCUGAAUUCAGGUCCUCCUACGAUAUUCUUUCUUGUUUACGUAUUGAAAAAAAAGAAUAAUGUCGCUUUUUAGCGGUGAAUAAAUUUUCAACAAAACUUUGCUCAAACAAUCUCAAGUUAUUCGCUGACAAAAUUUUUAUACUUCGACGUUCAAAACCUCUCGAUAACACAGUCGUUAGAUACGACGGACCAUUAUCCAUCUAUUUUCAAACAAACGCUACACUAGCUACCGAUUCGGCGCAAUUGCGAUCGUAAUAAUUAAGCUGAACACCGGCUGUCAAAACUCAAAGUACCAACGGGCCAUUAAAUUGAUGUAACAGCUCGAGUCAACGGUGUACGAUUAAUAAUCUCGAUCUUGUUCUCGGCCGUCAUGCUAAUAUAUGAUACCUUCUAACGCCCGUAAGAUACGAAAAAGAUUAUAAAUAUUAGAUAGUGAGACUGAAUUACGAUUGCUAAUCCGAAAUUCAUGAGCUUUGAUAAAAAUUGAACCAACAAAGCGGUUCGGAUGUAGUUCCAUGUCGGGAGGUAUGAAGUAAUAAAUCGUGAGAAAAAAAUGAAACAGAACGAAAAAAGUUUUCUUCUACUUGCCAAAAAUCCGCGUUGCAAGGUACUACCAUACCAUCGGAUAUACAUAUAUACACCGUCGCGAUUUCGACAAGGUUUUCGCUAACGCGUGCGUAAUUUUUGUCUGGGUUAAUGAUCUUAUAAUUAUUCUGUCCCUGAAGUCAAUCCAGCCUAAACUACCGUGAAAAGAAUAGCCGUAUUUGUUCCGCGGUGACAUCGGACAGGUGACGAGGACUGACGCGAUCUUCUAUAAACUUUUGAUUCUUUCAAUUAUUUUUAUUUAUUUUACGCUUGCGUCACUCUAGCUGCACGCGCGUUAUUGCACCAGGUUAGACUAUUUAUGGGGGUAUAAUAUCCUAUCCCUAAAAAAUGAACGACGAUCGCCGAUCUGCAUUACGCAAUAUAGAAUUGUAAUUGCCCGAGGUGAUGCAUUUGAUUGGAAAAUUAUUUAAAUCGUUUGACGGCAUGGUACAAUGUAUGUAUAUCUAUGGGUAUCCAGAGCCAGCGUUACAGGUAUACAUAAAAUAUCAAAAUUGGAGUCAUUACGAAAUUGGACGCAGUUUAAAAGUGAUCUUACAUGUACGAGCUAUGUAUAAUAUACGAUUGAACGGUUUUAGAUUAGAAAUUUUUACCUCGCGGCAAAUGUUAUUUCAUUUGUAUUUAUCCUGCGCCAUAUCAACUUCAUCACCUUUACUACUAUAUAUCUUUGUUAAUUAUUUAGAUGUUUUCAGCGAACGGAAACUACCUGUAUCAGCUGAAUUAAUUAGCUAAUACCUCGGCUAAUACCGAUAAUGAAGUAAAAUGUGAGCAAAUUCAAAUCCAAUUGGAUCCAGAGAUUCGGGAUGGCAGGGAAAAGUAAUCAAUAUUUAUGUACGUUGACGAAAAACUCACGUCUCGAUAGAAAAAAAAAAAAAAAAAAAAAAAAGAAAUGGCGACGAGUGAGUUGAAUAUAUAAAUUCAAGAUGAAUAAAAGAUUCCGUGAAACGAUACAUUUCGGAAUUUCUAAUAUAAGCUAUUUAUAGAUAUACCCGGUAUAAUCCGUUACCAAUUUAACGCUGUGGAUUUUUAUUGCGCGAAUAGUGUGUGCAUAUAGGUAGAUACACGCAUGUAUACGUGGUGACUUCGUCGGUGCCGUGCACCGCACGCGACGAUGGAAUGUAACGUCAAAAACUUGUCCGUCUAAAAAUACAACACACAUACGGAAUAUAAAGUAAAAAGCGGUGCAGGUUCAAAUGAAGAGAAAAGAGAAGUAAACCGAAGAGAAGAGAAGAGUAGAAGAAAAAUCGAAUAAAACAUGGUAACAAUAAUACCGCAUUUCAGCAUUCGAAUUACUCAAUUUACUCGAGUUUGCGAAGGACCGAUUCGGAGCUGAGCUGUGUCAUCGAGGACCUUGCGCACCGAGGGCGUCGCGAUGCAUAAAAAAUAAAAUAAAAUAAAAUAAGUAAGAAUAAAUAAAAAAAAAUUGGAUAAAAAGUUGAAACACCGAGUUGACGAAAUAUCAACGGCGUAAAACAGCCCCGAUCGUGAUUCUUCGCUCGUAAUUUUUAAAACAAUGGCAAUACUUUGAAUGAUUUAAUUGCGAGGUGUUGACUAGUUUGACGUUCAAAAGGUAUACCUAGACAUGCGGUAUGGUUUUAUUAUGUAACUUACGGCUGACUUUCAAAGGUAAUUAAUUUGCCGCUGAACGAAUCGCGAGGAUAUACUAAUAAUACCUCUCCUUAUAAUCGAGACUCGUGCGUUGCAUACGCCAUAAAAUUACCGCGAUUAAAUAUUCCUUAAUUCAAUUAUGCAUAGUUCAAACAUAUUUUUUGUUUUUUGUUUUUCUUCCAUGUAUCUAACUCAUAUUGAACAGCUGAGUAGAAUUUGCAGAUACGCCACACCAUUUUUUAGUAUCAUUUUUCAUUAAUAUAUGUAGUCAGAAAUU